AGUUAGGGUCUUCCAGGCCCGACCUCCCAACCCUAUGUUUAUUGAACCUCUGUUGCUUCGGCGGACCCGCCUCACGGCCGCCGGAGGACCGCUGCAAGGCGUCCUCUGGCCAGCGUCCGCCGAUGGCCAACCACUUAAACUCUGAAUGAAUCGUGUCAUAUGUCUAAGUCUAUGAUUAAAUUAAAGCAAAACUUUCAACAACGGAUCUCUUGGUUCUGGCAUCGAUGAAGAACGCAGCGAAAUGCGAUAAGUAAUGCGAAUUGCAGAAUUCCAGUGAGUCAUCGAAUCUUUGAACGCACAUUGCGCCCUUUGGUAUUCCGAAGGGCAUGCCUGUUCGAGCGUCAUUAUCACCCCUCAAGCCCCGUGCUUGGUGUUGGACGGCCGGUCGAGCGAUCGACCCCUCCUAAAGACAAUGACGGCGACCUGUGGUUCCCCCGGUACACUGAGCUUUUAACUGAGCACGUAUCGGACAAGGGCACCCGGGACCCGGUCCUCUCCUUUAACUAGGAAACUUCUAAGGUUGACCUCGGAUCAGGUAGGAAUACGCGCUGAACUUAAGCAUAUCAAUAAGCGCAGGAAAAG
rnacentral:rRNA from 1 species